CAGCCGCCGCGGUAAUACGAAGGGUGCAAGCGUUAAUCGGAAUUACUGGGCGUAAAGCGUGCGUAGGCGGUGAGUUAAGUCUGCUGUGAAAUCCCCGGGCUCAACCUGGGAAUGGCAGUGGAUACUGGCUCGCUAGAGUGUGUCAGAGGAUGGUGGAAUUCCCGGUGUAGCGGUGAAAUGCGUAGAGAUCGGGAGGAACAUCAGUGGCGAAGGCGGCCAUCUGGGACAACACUGACGCUGAGGCACGAAAGCGUGGGGAGCAAACAGGAUUAGAUACCCGCGUAGUCCCUGUCUCUUAUAC
rnacentral:rRNA from 1 species